UACAGAGGUCUCAAGCGUUGUUCGGAUUCAUUGGGCGUAAAGGGUGCGUAGGCGGCGCGGUAAGUCGGGUGUGAAAUCUCGGGGCUUAACUCCGAAACUGCAUUCGAUACUACCGUGCUUGAGGACUGGAGAGGAGACUGGAAUUUACGGUGUAGCAGUGAAAUGCGUAGAGAUCGUAAGGAAGACCAGUGGCGAAGGCGGGUCUCUGGACAGUUCCUGACACUGAGGCACGAAGGCCAGGGGAGCAAACGGG
rnacentral:rRNA from 1 species